rnacentral:lncRNA from 1 species
GUGGACCUGAGCUUCCGCUCAUUGCUGUUGCAGCUACAUGUGAGCCAGGAACAGAGAAUGGUGAUGCACCUGGAGGCCUUGGCAUUGGUGGCCGUGGAAAUGACAUACCCAUGGGAGGUCUUUGAGCCACAUUAGCAAGAUUUGCAGCGGUUCUGUUUGUUGGUAAUGAUGCCUUUGAGGACAUUGAAGAUGGGGCACCGAGUCUAGCUGCUAUGAUCUGCGCUCUUUCAUGGUAUAGCCUUUGCCUUGACCUCUCCAAUUGCUCUUUUACCCUUACUGUCAAGCUUUCAGCGUCGUUGAAUAUAGAUAGUUUUGCUUCUAGUUUACGCAACUGCUUAGACGUUUAAAAAAAACCUCGUUAUUAUGUUUAAACACUCAACAACAAUACAGCACCAAAACAGAAUCAAAGCUGCAUACACUUGAACCAUUUUUGUACCUGCUUCUCUAUCAAUGAUCCAGAAAGUUGUCGGAUAUGAUCUUCUUCUUGCUUUGCAAGAUGCUUUGCCUUUACUGUUGCAGCUGAGAGAGCAGAGAUAGCUGCGCGCUUAAGCUUAUCAGUGUUAUGUUUGUCUUUUGUCUCUUCAGAGACACCCUUCUCUUUCUUUGUAUUUUCACCUGCAAACAAUGUUUAAACAACAAACCAAUAAGAUAUAAAAGAAUCAUGCAAUGCAGGUCCAGUUUCAAAUCUGUCCAAGAGAUAGAGACAACCAUCUGUUCCAUUUUCCGGUACAGAAGCUGAUGCAACGGCCUGCUGUGCAACCGACGUGUCUGGCAUACUAAGAACAUCCUUUGCACUCUCCUUAGCUUGUUCAAUCUCCUCUCCUACUGUUUUGACCAUAUCUUGAGGAUCCUUCUGUGACUGUGACAUAUCCUUCAUCUCCACAUCUUUUGAUGCUUCCGGCUGAGAAGCAUCUGGAGCUAACUGGGAGACAGUUGCUUGAGAGGCGUCUUUAUUUUCACUAGAAAGCUUAUUCCCAUCCUUCAAAGGUUCUUGGAGCUCUUUCCCUGAACAUUUAUCCUGCGAUGUACAAAUUAUAUCCGCUGGUUCCUCUGAUUUUUCAGUUGCCACUGAAUUAGUAGAUUUUUUUAGUCCUUUAGCAUCUGGUUUCCUAGCAGAUUUUUUAGUUCUGGAACCAGGUUGCUUUUCUUCAGAGACUGAAUCCUGAUUUUCUUUGCCUGAAUCAGCUUCUGUCAUUUCCCUGUCAUUUGCAUUCAAGGAGACACCUUCUGCUUUCUGGCUUUUUCCUUCUGGCUGUUCAUCUUUAUGGGCACUAUCACCGUUCCCCACUGCAUCCACACUGCAAAUGUCUUGCUUGUUUUAGAUUUACGAUAUAAUAACCAAUAUCUUCAAAAUACUGAGAUAUUCAAAUAAACGUUAAACCUUUUUGAUUCAGCUGAAUCCUUCUUGUUGUCUAGUGGAUCUUCGAGAACAAAACAAUGUCUUGUGGCAAGCAGCAAUCCAGAAUUGCUUUUCAGAGAGUUUAUGGAAGCCCGGGCUGAAGCAGUAGCAACGUCAGAUCCCGCCAAAACAUAUAUAUACAUAUAUAUAUAUAUACCUGAGUUUCAAAACUAAAAUCAAGAAGAAUAUUUGCAGCUUUGAUAUCUCUAUGGAUGAUUCGAGGAUGACCUACCAUCGAGAUAAAUAUAUACAAUGUUUAGUUUCUUAAAGAGAGCGAGGUAGAAACUAUAUCAUUCUCUUACAGUCUUCAUGCAAAUAUGCAAGGCCUCUAGCUGAUCCCAAUGCAAUCUUCACUCGUACAUGCCAAUCCAAUACUGGACGACCUUUUCCUGAAGUUUCAAUCAUGUUAUUGAUAAAAGAGACAUCAUACAUAAAAAGUGAUGAUUCAAGCAAAAUAUUAUGUAAGAAUAAUGUUACCAUGAAGAUGGAAUUCAAGAGUGUUAUUAGGUAAAAACUCGUAAACCAAUAGCCUUUGACCACCAGAGAUGCAAUAUCCAACUAGAGAUACAAGAUGACGAUGAUGGACACGGCUAAUGAUCUCAACCUCUGCUUGAAACUCGCGUUCUCCUUGUCCACUUCCAAGUUUAAGACUCUUCACUGCAACUUCUUUGCCACUGGGCAAAACUCCUUUAUGAACAUACCCAAAUCCUCCUUGUCCUAGCAGAUUAGACUGAGAGAAACCUUCUGUUGCAAUGGACAGUUCAUCGUAGGUGAAAGUGCUUUGGUUGUGACCAAGAGUCGCAGCUGGAGGCGACGGUGCGGUUGGACCGGCUAAGUUAGAGCUGUCGCUAUGAUCCAUGUUCACUACAUGGUCUUGAGGUGUUCCAUUGUUGUAAUAGCCACCAUUACCUACAUAUGCAACAACAACUCCAUUAGCUUCUUAAGUAUAAUCCUUUUGCACAUACCAAGUUCGAGAUGAAACUAUGUGUGAAUAUAAGCUCACAUUUCGAGAGUUUCAAUGGGACAUAAAAAAAUAUAUACAACGGAGUUUUAAGUUGGAAGCCCAUGAAACUUAACAAACGAGAAUAAACCACUAGACUAUAAAGGCUUAAACAUUUGAUUACCAUUGGGAGCUCCAAAGGGAGUGUUGUUGUUGUAGUAAUGCAUGUGGUUGACUUGAGGAGCACGUUUCUCCUUCUUCUUCUUGUAGCAACAGAUGCAAAUAAACAUUAGAAGCAGAAGCAGUAACCCUGCUCCUACAAUGACUCCAAUAAUCAGUCCAAGGUUGGCUUGGUGCGGUUGUUCCCCUGGUGGUGAUGACGUGUCUGAAUCUCCACUAUUCCGGGGAGGGCUUAUAGACCGAGGCGGUGAAGGUGAGCCACCGUCACUGGACCUUCUGUUUCCAGACGGUGGAGACGGUGUGGAACCUUCUCUGUUGUUACUGUUGAUUCUGUUACGGUCAUCAUUUUCAGAAGUUCCAGACGGUGUGGAACCUUCUCUGUUGUUACUGUUGAUUCUGUUACGGUCAUCAUUUGCAACAGGAGAAGGAGGAGAUGGUCUUUGUGGAGGAGGUGAUUGCUUGGACGGUGCUUGAGGAGGUGCAGGUGGCGUUACAGGAGAUGAGAUUUGAGGAGAAGGUGGAGAAGGAUUCUCUUGAGGUUUAGCUGGUGGAUUAGGUACAGCUGGAGGAGAUGUUGGCAAUGAUGGAGGAGGGGAGGUUUCCUGCGUCGGUGGUGCAGGCGGCGGUGAAGAAGCUGUUGGCGUUGGAGGAGGAGCAGAAUCAGGAGACGGUGGAGAUGAAGCAGGUGAUGUUAACGGCGAUGUGCCAUUUGACAGAGAACCUGCAUUAGGGGUUUCCGGGGCAGGAGGUGAAUUCUCCGGAGAGUCUGCCAUGAUGAAGUCUUUGUUCUUUGGUGAAAGGUUUCUCAACGGUGGAGAAACCUUCUCCCCGGUGAUCCUUGACUCAUCAGCCUUGCGUUACAAGCAAAAACAAUCGAAACUUAGAACUUGGAGAUAUUCAGAAGACUUGGUGAAGAGAAGAGAGAAGAUUGUUGGAAAGAGAGGAAUCCUGAUGGUUUCUCUUUUUGGGUUUGGAGAAAUGGCUUCGAAGGAGGAGAAGAGAUUAAGGAACUAUAAUUAGAAGCAAAGGCUCUCUAUCUUUCUCUCUACCAUCUAUGAUCUAUAUUUGUUCUUUCUAGCCGUUUGAAGUUUGAUGAAACGAACCGGUCUAGAAGGCCAACCAGUUUGAGAUUAGAGAUGAUUUGAAUACUAAUUAACCGAAUAGACAAAAUUUAAUCAAAACCGAACCAGAAAGUACGGUUAGCUCAUUGGCGGGAGUUUGCAAACAGUAGACGAGAGAGACCGUGUUUAACCAAGAGAGGCUCCAACUUGGUUACACUAAGUAUCUUAUUAUCAGAAAGUCUUUACCAACCAUGAUCCAUAAAACAUUCCCACCUUCUGCGGAUUCAUAAUCAUACAUCUCUGCUCAACGUUACAACUCUUUAAAGUUCAAAGAACACAUAAAUAAAGUAUCAUUCACAUAUCUCCAAACUUCCAUUGACAGUUACAUUUAGCAUUAAUCGAUGGGUCUAAAACCCCUAACGAACUUUGUCUUCUACAUAAAUCUCCAGAAAAUAAACCAAGCUCCGCGAAAGGUGGGAUGAUGUACCUGGGCUUUACUAAUAGAACAUCAAGAGCUACCACUCAAUCUGAACAUUAUGAUGUAGCACCACUAAACCGAAGAAACAUUGUCUGAACCUUGAGGUGGACCUGAGCUUCCGCUCAUUGCUGUUGCAGCUACAUGUGAGCCAGGAACAGAGAAUGGUGAUGCACCUGGAGGCCUUGGCAUUGGUGGCCGUGGAAAUGACAUACCCAUGGGAGGUCUUUGAGCCACAUUAGCAAGAUUUGCAGCGGUUCUGUUUGUUGGUAAUGAUGCCUUUGAGGACAUUGAAGGUGGGGCACCGAGUCUAGUUGCUAUGAUCUGC